GGACAAUAAAGGGUCUUGGGAAGUGCCUCUGUCCUCCCUUCUGGGGCCUAUAAAGAGAAGCCUAGUCCUUUCAAGCAGUUUCUCCAGAUUUUACAACCUGGUUCUGCUGGUUGGGAGAGAGGAUCCUCAAGAAGAAUCAGUGCAUGCCAAUGGCAUUCCAGAAGAUAUUCGCCAUGAAAACUCACUACUGCAGAAGCUGUGCAAUGAGUAAUAAUUGCCUAUGAAAACUGCCUGUGAAGAAUAUUGUCAGAAAUUCCAAACUGCUCCAGAGCGGUGGCAAGAAAGUCCAGAGAUUAUUAUUGGGUAAUGACAUUGGAAAUAAAAAAGUAUAUAGUAUUACAGUAUUGAGCUAUUAGAGUAAGGAAUCAAUUCAAGGAGACAAGCAAAAUUUAUAUACUUUAUUGAUUUUAAAUUUUACAUGCUCUGCUAUGUGAGUAAAUCUUUCGUAGUAAUUCUAAAGCUUUGAAACAUUGUAAAUAACAGGGACUGUAGGGAGUUCAGGACAGCUAUUUUUUCAUACUGAGAGUAUAUAGCCUUUAAUGCAUAUUAGAAGAAAUUGGAGUAAUGAAAUACCUUAAAGCUAACUUAAGUCAGGGUUGACAUGUUUUGUUUGGUUUUGUUUUUUGUCUCCAAAAAGAGAGCACGUAUCAGGUAGUGAAGUAAUUCCAGGUAGCAUUCUACUUAAGGAAAAGCAUAUUAAAUUGAUCUUACUGUAUUACAUAAAUCCAACAUAUCCUGUGUAAACUCAGAAACAGGUGGCUCUUUGUAAAAGGUGGCUGGAUGCAGCCGGGCGUGAUGGCUCACGCCUGUAAUCCUAGCACUUUG
rnacentral:lncRNA from 1 species